rnacentral:rRNA from 1 species
GACUCUCGGUAACGGAUAUCUCGGCUCUCGCAUCGAUGAAGAACGUAGCGAAAUGCGAUACUUGGUGUGAAUUGCAGAAUCCCGUAAACCAUCGAGUCUUUGAACGCAAGUUGCGCCCGAAGCCAUUAGGCCGAGGGCACGUCUGCCUGGGCGUCA